AUACUGUGUUGGGUCUGCACACAUUAUCGGUAGCCACCUCCGUUGCAUAUGCGCAGUCGGCGGGUUGAAUGUCCAGUGGGAGCAAGGACACAAGACUAGAGGUUAUUCAGUUAAUUCUUCUUCCCUUUCCGCCGUGAGAGUCACUCAUACCUCUUUUUCGCCCCUACAGUUGCGGGAAACAUUUUGGAGAUCUGCCCGAUCCCUUCGGAGUGGAUGGACACGAUAUCCCGAAAUUCAUUCCCCCCGAUCGCCCAUUCUUGGGUGGAUUCGUCUCAGCACCAAGAUCUAAAGGUGAAAAAAGGGUAAUGAAUCAGCGGACGGCGCCUGCGCUUCGGUGGGGUUAAAAAUCUUCUGUGGAUUGAGGCGAUCUCACUGUCUCUGCCGGGAGAUCUCUGUUCUGCAGUGAACUUGCCGGUCCGCAAGGUUAGAUUCUGCUGAGAGGUGCAAUAUGUGUGUACAUAUGCUCGCAGUGGGUUUCCUGACAUCACCAUCAGAUCUUUGCAAAUUGGUUUUAAAUCGUAUGACGUUACGUGGCUGAGGUGGAGGUUGGAGGUCCAUCCAACCGGGUGAGUCCUUUGCCUGCUUCCCACCGCGUUCAAUGAGAUCUUGAGACGUGUGAAGAUUAGCAUUCGCAAGGGGGCUGUACUGCAUACAUCAUACGGCACUUCCUGGUCAUGGAAUUAGCAAAUCUACCAGGUGUUCUUCACGACGUUGCAGAAGAUUCACUUGUUCUCUACAUAAAUGUGUUCCCCCUUAUACUUGUCGAUUCUGCUUUAUAAUAAAUUAAGAAAUCAUAUUUUAUACUGAUA